AAUUUCCCUAUAAUCCAGAGGUUCUACCUAUACUCACUCCCUUUCCUACUCUUUUGCCCUCACCCAAAAUCCACCAAAGUAAGCCUUAGCCAUGGAAUCCAAGAGCUUGUGAGGUAGAGAGAGACCUUCCUUAGGUUCUCCUUCUUCACUUCUCUUUCCCAUCAAGCCUCUUCGAGGAAGCUAGCUUGCUCUGGCGGAUCAAGACGACUGACGAAAGGGGGAGAAAGGACAGGUCACCUGCCGAUUCGCUAAGUUUUCGAAGUCCAAAGAGCGCAGACUAGCCACGGAGCUUGGAUACGGUUUCCCGACCGGAGAUCCAUGGAUCACAGACGUUGAAGGUCGCAGGCGCUUGACGUUUGGAAGACCAUAAUCUUCUCACUGGAAUCUGAAAGGGACUGUGAAGGGGUUCGCUUGGCUUCUUUAUUUAUAAUUUCUGAUUCUGUGUUGUUCCAAGUUAGUGCCAUGGAUUAGGUUUUAGUUUCUGGUUGGGUACUUUUGGCCAGUGUCAAACUUUCUCCUAAUUUCAUUUGAUUCUUGUAACGUACAUAGCUUCUUAUUUUCGAUGCUAGCUUUUCUUAAUAUUUAUGAUACGUGACUUAAAAGAAGGUGAAUAGUGAUAACUUUUUAAAAGAGAGAUAUAAGGUGAAUAGUGAUAACUUUUUAAAGAGAGAUAUAAGGUGAAUAGUGAUAACUUUCUAAAAGAGAGAUAUACUUUUCUUGUUUUUAAGUUCUAAUCUUGUACUCCAUAAAUUACUGUGUGCCAAAGAAGGAAAUGAAGUUCCUGUGACUUGAUCUUGAUCUAUAUUUUAAUAGCUUCUUGUUUCAAUCCAAAAUUUGUUUCAUGAUCGACUUUGGAUGAGUGAAAUCAGGAAGUAAAAUUGCAUGCAUUUGCUUAAUUUUUUCUUCUUUAUUCUGCAUCACCCUUUGUGGAAUCUGUUUAACCUUUUACAAUUACUCUAAGAUUGAGUUGUUUUUGGAAAUGCUUUGUAGCUUUGAUCAAUAGUCAGAAUCUUCUAAAGGUACACAUAUUGGCUGUACACUUGGUUUGACUUUCCUUCCUCCAUCUUCCUGUAGUUCAACUCUAUAGUUUUGAUCAGUAUUCUUUUUGGGUUACAGCAAAUAAUUCCAAUCAUAAAAGCGUCCAAUUGAGAGAAGUGAAAAAGAGCCUCAAGUGCCACAAUGCAUAUAUUGGCUAUGUCGUCUUCUGUAUUACAUGCUAUGCAUCAUGGCAUUUUAGCACACAUUGGCUACCUUGUCCCCUCUCCAGCCUGGGUCAAUUGCAAUAUAACGAUGCUAAUUUUGAAGAGAGCUAUUUUUGCACUCUUUUUUGGUUAUAGAAGCUCUAAAUACAUUCAAUCAAGAAAGCAUCCAACUGAGAGAAGGGAAAAAGAGCCUCAAGUACCAAAAUGCUGUCGUUUAUCUAGACUUGAAAAGAGUUCUUCUAGCAUUCCAAUAAUCUCAGUGAGCAAUCCGGAGAAAGGAGCCUUGCGGUUAUGUUCUUAUGAUGAGGGAGUUUCUAUACUCCCUUAUGUGUUUCUGUUUUAGUCAACAGUAUUAACUCCUAAUAUUCUUACUAGAGAAUGUACAAUAAUUUAAGCGAGCUAAGUUGUAUGUAUUUGUAGGGUUCAACACUUUGAAUGUUUGAGGAAGUAUUAUUUUACAUUGAAAUAUAAUUUUUUUUUUAAA